CCUACGGGAGGCAGCAGUAGGGAAUCUUUCACAAUGGGCGAAAGCCUGAUGGAGCAACGCCGCGUGCAGGAUGAAGGCCUUCGGGUUGUAAACUGCUUUUAUAAGCGAGAAAUAUGAUGGUAACUUAUGAAUAAGGAUCGGCUAACUACGUGCCAGCAGCCGCGGUCAUACGUAGGAUCCGAGCAUUAUCCGGAGUGACUGGGGGUAAAGAGUUGCGUAGGUGGCAUAAUAAGUAGCUAGUGAAAUCUGGUGGCUCAAUCAUUCAGACUAUUAGCUAAACUGUUAAGCUCGAGACCGUUAGAGGUAACUGGAAUUUCUAGUGUAGGAGUGAAAUCCGUAGAUAUUAGAAGGAACACCAAUAGCGUAGGCAGGUUACUGGGACGGUUCUGACACUAAGGCACGAAAGCGUAGGGAGCGAACGGGAUUAGAUACCCGAGUAGUC
rnacentral:rRNA from 1 species